rnacentral:rRNA from 1 species
UACCAGCACCCCCGAGUGGUCGGGACGAUUAUUGGGCCUAAAGCAUCCGUAGCCGGCCUUACAAGUCCUCCGUUAAAUCCAGCUGCUUAACAGAUGGGCUGCGGAGGAUACUAUAAGACUAGGAGGCAGGAGAGGCAAGCGGUACUCAGUGGGUAGGGGUAAAAUCCGUUGAUCCAUUGAAGACCACCAGUGGCGAAGGCGGCUUGCCAGAAUGCGC